rnacentral:rRNA from 1 species
GAUGAACGCUGGCGGCAUGCCUAACACAUGCAAGUCGAUCGGUAAGGCUCUUCGGAGUACACGAGAGGCGGACGGCUGAGUAACGCGUAGGAACACACCCUGCAGUGAGGGAUAAGACACCGAAAGGUGUUCUAAUACCGCAUACGGUCUUCGGAUUAAAGCAUUUAUGCGCUGAAGGAGUUGCCUGCGUCAUAUUAGAUAGUUGGUGAGGUAAUGGCUCACCAAGGCGAUGAUGUGUAGCUGGUCUGAGAGGAUUAUCAGCCCGACUGGAACUGAGACACGGUCCAGACUUCUACCGGAGGCAGGAGUGAGGAAUAUUUCACAAUGAGCGAAAGCUUGAUGGAGCAAUGCCGCGUGCAGGAUGAAGGCCCUCGGGUUGUAAACUGCUUUUAUAAGAGAAGAUUAUGACGGUAACUUAUGAAUAAGGGACGGCUAACUACGUG